rnacentral:rRNA from 1 species
CCCGCUGAACUUAAGCAUAUCAAUAAGCGGAGGAAAAGAAACUAACAAGGAUUCCCCUAGUAACGGCGAGUGAAGAGGGAAAAGCUCAAAUUUUGAAUCUGGCGUCUUUGGCGUCCGAGUUGUAAUCUAGAGAAGUGUUUUCCGUGGCGGACCGUGCAUAAGUCUCCUGGAAUGGAGCGUCAUAGAGGGUAAGAAUCCCGUGUAUGGCAUGGACUACCGUUACUCUGUGAUACACUCUCAACGAGUCGAGUUGUUUGGGAAUGCAGCUCUAAAUGGGUGGUAAAUGCCAUCUAAAGCUAAAUAUUGGCGAGAGACCGAUAGCGAACAAGUACCGUGAGGGAAAGAUGAAAAGCACUUUGGAAAGAGAGUGAAACAGUACGUGAAAUUGUUGAAAGGGAAACGCUUGAAGUCAGGCGCACCCUCGGGGAUUCAGCCUUGCUUCUGCUUGGUUUACUUCGCCUUGGGUGGGUCAACGUCAGUGUUGGUCAGAGGAAAAAGACCUGGGGAAGGUAGCAGCAUUUAUGCUGUGUUAUAGCCUCUUGUUGUAUACUUUGAUUAGAACUGAGGACCGCAGCGCGCCUUUACGGCCGGGGCUUGCCCACGUACGCGCUUAGGAUGUUGACAAAAUGGCCUUAAGCGACCCGUCUUGAAACACGG